rnacentral:rRNA from 1 species
AGGAGUUUUGGAUCCCUGGCUCAGGACAACGGCUGGCGGCGUGCUUAACACAUGCAAGUCGAACGGAGUGCCUCGGGAAAGAGAAUUUCGGUCAAUGAAGAGGAUACUUAGUGGCGGACGGGUGAGUAACGCGUGAGGAACCUACCUCUCAGAGGGGGACAACAGUUGGAAACGACUGCUAAUACCGCAUAGUAUAUCUGUAUCGCAUGGUAUGGAUAUCAAAGAUUUAUCGCUGAGAGAUGGCCUCGCGUCUGAUUAGCUAGUUGGUAGGGUAACGGCCUACCAAGGCAACGAUCAGUAGCCGGACUGAGAGGUUGGCCGGCCACAUUGGGACUGAGAUACGGCCCAGACUCCUACGGGAGGCAGCAGUGGGGAAUAUUGGGCAAUGGGCGCAAGCCUGACCCAGCAACGCCGCGUGAAGGAAGAAGGCUUCGGGUUGUAAACUUCUUUUAAGUAGGGAAGAGCAGAAGACGGUACCUCUUGAAUAAGCCACGGCUAACUACGUG